rnacentral:rRNA from 1 species
UGAGGAAUUUUCCGCAAUGGGUGAAAGCCUGACGGAGCAAUGCCGCGUGGAGGAAGAAUGCCUUUGGGUUGUAAACUCCUUUUCUCAUAGAAGAAAAAAUGACGGUAUAUGAGGAAUAAGCAUCGGCUAAUUCCGUGCCAGCAGCCGCGGUAAUACGGGAGAUGCAAGCGUUAUCCGGAAUUAUUGGGCGUAAAGAGUUUGUAGGUGGUCCAGUGUGUUUAAUGUUAAAUGUCAGAGCUUAACUUUGGAAUCGCAUUAAAAACUGCUAGACUUGAGUAUGGUAGGGGUAAAGGGAAUUUCCAGUGUAGCGGUGAAAUGCGUAGAGAUUGGAAAGAACACCAAAAGCGAAGGCACUUUACUAGGCCAAUACUGACAUUGAGAAACGAAAGCUAAGGGAGCA